rnacentral:lncRNA from 1 species
UUCUUCUAAUUUAUCAACUAUUAGUAAAUAAUUUAUUGCAACUUUUGCAUAGGAUUAAUCAUCAAUCAAAUUGAUAAUUAUACCCUUCAAUGAUUCAUAAUCAUCAAUCAGCCAUUUGAUCAGACAGAUACUUCUAUAUGUGUGACCCCAUAGAUUUAAAAGUACAAGAAUAAUUUUUAUAUUAAUCGAUGUUAUCAUCUAGCAAUAGUUUUUGACAUCCAGAU